CUGAAGCACAUAUUACUUGCCAAGUACUGACAUGUUAUGUGUUGUUCAGGUGUCAGCGCUGUGCAAAAUAGGAGGAAGAAACCUCAAGGACAGUGCAAGAAGGAUGCUGGAUAGGGUUUUAAAUAAUUCCCUUAUGUCCAAAUUUAAUAUGAAGGGGGGUGGACCACUGCAGAAGGAGGCAUUUGAGAAGACUGCAGUAUUCACAGUCAUAAGAGAUGAUGUGAUGACCAAUUUUCCAAAAGGAACAGUAUGACAUCGUACAUGCAAUUGGAGAGCAUUUCAAGCAAGCACCUGGGAGAACAGGGGGGGGAUAUAUAAGUAAACACAAAAAAUAAGUACCUAGAAAAUGUGAUUACCUUAACAGAAAACAAUGAAAAAAUAUUUUAAAUAACUUCUUAAAUUUAUUUUUAUUUUAAUAUUGUUUAUUGCAUUUUAAGUUGUAUUUAUAAAUGCUUUGUUUUGUAAUUUUCUGUAUUGUAUUUUAUUUAUUAUUCUUUUAUAAUUUUCUAAUUUGUGAAAUUUCGAUUUUACAUAAU